rnacentral:lncRNA from 1 species
GAAUCAGCUGUAAAGAAAUGUUAGACAUGCAUGACGUAUGCAAUAUGUCAUGUAUGCAAUGUAUGACUAUUUUUUUCUUUCUCUUUCUUUUUUUUUUCUUUUUUUCUCUCUUUUUUUUCUCUACCUCCACUAACAAAUUUUGGCAUAUACUGGUAAUUGAGAUAUUCCUGCAGGAUUCCACAAAGAUAAGAAAAUUAUGUAUAUGCGAAAGGCAAGUAAUAGAGGAUAUAAAGGUAAAUUGAAAUCUUAUACAAAAGGAAGAGAGACGUCUUGCAAAAGGCAAGCAUAAUUUGACUGAGAAAUG